AACGCAAGUUGCGCCCGAGGGAUCAUCUCGAGGGCACGCCUGCCUCUUGGGCGUAAGAAGCCCAUCCACGCUCAGGCACCUAAAAGGUGCUCUUGAUGCGGACACUGGCCCUCCGAGCCGCAAGGUUGCGACGGGCCCAAGUACAAUGGCUGUCGGUUGAGGUCGAGAGCGACGAGUGGUGGGCUACAAUCUAGCGUUCGUCGCCCUUGAAUCUCACGAUGAUGAUGCCUGUAUUGACCCCAAACGAGCAUCAAGCCGCUGCAGCGUUAUGUUGUGUGGCAUGUUCGGACUUAUACCCCAGGUCAGGCGUGAUCACCCGCUGAGUUUAA
rnacentral:misc_RNA from 1 species